UGCUGUUGAUGAUAUAUCCAAAGGCUUGUUUCUCAAAACAUUCGCAGUGGCCGCCUGAGAGCUUUCGCCUCUCGCCGGGCUUGAGAGCUUGUGCAGCUCAACUCUUCCUUCCUUGGAUAUCUGAAGCU